UAGGACUCAAAUCCAAGUUUCAGCCACUUCAGCCUUCCUUGCCUGGUCUGAGGAGUGACAGUUGGAGAAGUGGUCUGAGGAGUGACAGUUGGAGAACUAGGCCUCAAACUUUCCUGGCCUAAAAGAGCAGUGCCUUGAGACCACGCAUGGACCCCCUGCUUCGGUCACAGCUGAUACAGAAAAGCAUCAGGAAGGUCUUUCAAUUGCCCUCAUUACAGUUUGCAAAGGUCAAAGCCGGGAGUUCCGUGCCAGCAACACAGAGCCAUGUGACUGGACCUUCUUAAGGACAUAAGUAGAGCCCAGUUGGAUCAGGCCAAUGUGGAAACCUGGAGAACUGAUCUCAAGAUUGGAAAAAUGAGAAACUGAGAAAAAUGGAAGCUUACCAAUUCACCCUUCCAUAAGGGCACAAGAGUCAAAGGAAUAUAAUCAACUUUACAAUACUCUACUCAUGAGCAAGAAUGCUUAUGAAUGGAACUUCUGCCUCCCCCUCGCCCGGUGUCACCUUGGUGGGGAUUGGUCUGUUGACAAGGGGUAGCCAAAGUGCAAUGUUCCCCCUGUCAAGAUAGGGUCAUUUAUCAUGUCGGUCAUUAUGACUUUUGAAUACACUAGCCCUCAUGGAUGGCUGUGUUUGAGACUAAUGAGCAAUUUGUUCUCCAUUGCUAAAUGGUUUGGAAAUGUUCAUCUCAUCUCUAAUGAGUUGUGGAGAUGAAUAAGGGGUUGACCUUUUGUUUUUGUUUUGUUCUUUGCUUGUUUUCUUCUCUUUCGCAAAGAGUAGGAUGGCGUUGGCAAUGAGGGGUCGGGCAGCUUGUAACAUCAUCUUGCAGGCAUUGUACAGAAGUGUGUUCUUUCAACCAUGUCUUAAAUAACUUUUGAGUUAAAAAAAUAAAGUGCCAAAUCUA